AGAAUAUAAUAAAUCGUCUCUUAACUUUUAACUAAAAAUACUAAGAACCGGCUCUUAAAUAUUUAAGAACCGGUUCUUAGUAUUUUUAGUUAAAAGUUAAGAGGCGGUUUAUAUUCC
rfam:Brassica napus, WGS project CCCW01000000 data, contig: 6203